CCGUAACUAUAACGGUCCUAAGGUAGCGAAAUUCCUUGUCGGGUAAGUUCCGACCCGCACGAAAGGCGUAACGAUUUGGGCACUGUCUCAACGAGAGACUCGGUGAAAUCAUAGUACCUGUGAAGAUGCAGGUUACCCGCGACAGGACGGAAAGACCCCGUGGAGCUUUACUGUAGCCUGAUAUUGAAAUUCGGCACAGCUUGUACAGGAUAGGUAGGAGCCUUUGAAACGUGAGCGCUAGCUUACGUGGAGGCGCUGGUGGGAUACUACCCUAGCUGUGUUGGCUUUCUAACCCGCACCACUUAUCGUGGUGGGAGACAGUGUCAGGCGGGCAGUUUGACUGGGGCGGUCGCCUCCUAAAAGGUAACGGAGGCGCUCAAAGGUUCCCUCAGAAUGGUUGGAAAUCAUUCAUAGAGUGUAAAGGCAUAAGGGAGCUUGACUGCGAGACCUACAAGUCGAGCAGGGUCGAAAGACGGACUUAGUGAUCCGGUGGUUCCGCAUGGAAGGGCCAUCGCUCAACGGAUAAAAGCUACCCCGGGGAUAACAGGCUUAUCUCCCCCAAGAGUUCACAUCGACGGGGAGGUUUGGCACCUCGAUGUCGGCUCAUCGCAUCCUGGGGCUGUAGUCGGUCCCAAGGGUUGGGCUGUUCGCCCAUUAAAGCGGUACGCGAGCUGGGUUCAGAACGUCGUGAGACAGUUCGGUCCCUAUCCGUCGUGGGCGUAGGAAAUUUGAGAGGAGCUGUCCUUAGUACGAGAGGACCGGGAUGGACAUACCUCUGGUGUACCAGUUGUCGUGCCAACGGCAUAGCUGGGUAGCUAUGUGUGGACGGGAUAAGUGCUGAAAGCAUCUAAGCAUGAAGCCCCCCUCAAGAUGAG
rnacentral:rRNA from 1 species